AUAACAGGAUGGACACGACAAAGAGACUUCAAAGGGACUCAGGGGCUGGGGUGCACCUGUGGUUACCUGCAAGGCAAACUACACAGAGGAGGAUUGAUGUCCAGACUCAACUUUCAAGGCAAUAUGGUUCCAGGGACCCACUCUUGUGCCUACUGAAGUUCCUUCCAGAUUUGCCAUUGACUUCAGAGAAGCAGUAUCAGACCUACUGGGUAUCAGCAGUAUUGUGUUACUUUUGUUUGUCUCUUGAGUGACCUACGGUUAACAAGUAUAUGUUUAUUGCAUCUAUGAAUUUCUUUUGAAAAACAAACAACUGUGGCUUUCUCUCUCUCACACUCUUUGUAGACCUUGGUCUGUCAUAGGCCACAGUAUCUGAAAUACAUUCUUUCGCUAACUCACCUGCAGAUAAUACAUUUGUGUAAAGUUAAGGUUAUAACACUCAAUAUUUUAUAA